UAGCAAUGGUACCCGACGAUCAGAUAGGUCGAAUGGUCACAAUCGCAACACUCAGAACCUACGUGAAUAUGGUUACUGUAUAAUUCAUCCUUUUGACCUUUGUGUUUAGGAUGACUCAAGGUUAAACUGUCAACCCUGAUUAGAUCAUCCGAAUCAUGCUCAACUCAAACAGUCCUGUGACUCCUCACAAAGACUACCCUGACCAAGGUUUUGCUAAAUUAAAAUAUGACUAUACACAGCUCCUAAACUGGAGUGGUCAAUCCCAUCUUGACACACGCAUCGACAAGUCAAGUACUUGACUACACCCAGCAACCUUCCGUCACUGAAUUAGAAAUUCAGGUAGUCCAGUGCCUAAGUGCAGUGAGUUGCUUGCAAGUCACCGUGGCGGUCUCAGGUCGAAGAGAUAUUUAUACCCAUAUUCCAUCGGAGCAAAUUUUGACAGCAGAAAUAGCUCCAGAGUGGGUCACGUUCAGUGCAGAUGUACCCUUACAUCUCACCUGCAUGCCAUACCAAUGUCUCCACACUCAUUGGUUAAGAGGACAACCAACCUAUAUGGCACACAACGACCUAUGCUUGAUAAACGUUGUCAUCCUUGAUAACAACAUAUUAUUUGGUCACGAACAGAUUUAAGGACUAAACGAUAAAUCCUCCUUUGUCGAGUCCAAAUAGUCCUAAGGACUUCACCACAACAUAGGAGUUCAUUAUAAGAUGAAAUAUUUUGUGAUGAAAAAUACCAAAAUAAUUUUUAUUAAUUCAUAAUUCAUGUACAUAUACAAAAAUGAGCACAACCAUCAAC
rnacentral:lncRNA from 1 species